rnacentral:rRNA from 1 species
GAUGAACGCUGGCGGCGUGCUUAACACAUGCAAGUCGAACGAAGCACCUUGAUUCGAUUCUUCGGAUGAAGAUCUUGGUGACUGAGUGGCGGACGGGUGAGUAACGCGUGGGUAACCUGCCUCAUACAGGGGGAUAACAGUUAGAAAUGACUGCUAAUACCGCAUAAGACCACAGCACCGCAUGGUGCAGGGGUAAAAACUCGGGUGGUAUGAGAUGGACCCGCGUCUGAUUAGGUAGUUGGUGGGGUAACGGCCUACCAAGCCGACGAUCAGUAGCCGACCUGGGAGGGUGACCGGCCACAUUGGGACUGAGACACGGCCCAAACUCCUACGGGAGGCAGCAGUGGGGAAUAUUGCACAAUGGGGGAAACCCUGAUGCAGCGACGCCGCGUGAGCGAUGAAGUAUUUCGGUAUGUAAAGCUCUAUCAGCAGGGAAGAAAAUGACGGUACCUGACGAAGAAGCACCGGCUAAAUACGUG